rnacentral:rRNA from 1 species
UGAGCAAUCUGCCCUUCUCAUCGGAAUAACCAUUGGAAACGAUGGCUAAUGCCGAAUAUGACCUCGGAACACAUGUUCUGAGGUAGAAAGCUCCGGCGGAGAAGGAUGAGCUCGCGGCCUAUCAGCUUGUUGGUGAGGUAAUGGCUCACCAAGGCGACGAUCAGUAGCUGGUCUGAGAGGAUGAUCAGCCGCACUGGGA